rnacentral:rRNA from 1 species
AGCGAACGCUGGCGGCAGGCUUAACACAUGCAAGUCGAGCGGGCACUUUCGGGUGUCAGCGGCAGACGGGUGAGUAACACGUGGGAACGUACCCUUUGGUUCGGAACAACUCCGGGAAACUGGAGCUAAUACCGGAUAAGCCCUUCGGGGGAAAGAUUUAUUGCCAAAGGAUCGGCCCGCGUCUGAUUAGCUAGUUGGUGAGGUAACGGCUCACCAAGGCGACGAUCAGUAGCUGGUCUGAGAGGAUGAUCAGCCACACUGGGACUGAGACACGGCCCAGACUCCUACGGGAGGCAGCAGUGGGGAAUAUUGGACAAUGGGCGAAAGCCUGAUCCAGCCAUGCCGCGUGAGUGAUGAAGGCCCUAGGGUUGUAAAGCUCUUUCGGCGGGGACGAUAAUGACGGUACCCGCAGAAGAAGCCCCGGCUAACUUCGUGCCAGCAGCCGCCGCAGUAAGAU